CCCGGGGCGGGGCCGAGAAAGUUUGUUUCCCAACUCUCUCCGGGUAGCUCCAGAGCCCCCGCAGCCACCUCCGCCGCCGCUUGCUUCUCCCUCGCCGGAGCCCGGCCUUGCUCCCGACGCGGCCUGGGAUGGAGCUGCCCGCCGUAAACCUCAAGGCCAUUGUUCUGGUGCACUGGCUGCUGACAACAUGGGGCUGUUUGAUAUUCUCAAACUCCUAUGCCUGGGCUAAUUUCACCGUCCUGGCCCUAGGGGUGUGGGCCAUUGCCCAGCGGGAUUCCCUGGAUGCCAUAAUUAUGUUUCUGGUGGGGCUGGCCAUCACCAUCCUCCUGGACAUCAUCUACAUCAGCAUCUCCUACCCGCACGGAGACUCCCUGAGCGACACGCAGCGCUUCAGCACCGGCAUGGCCAUCUUCAGCCUCCUUCUGAAGCCCCUCUCCUGCCUCUUUGUCUACCACAUGUACCGAGAGCGAGGGGGCGAGUUCAUCCUCAACAUAGGCUCCUUUGGCCCAUCACAGGAGCGCAGCGCAUACCAGACCAUUGACACGCAGGAGGACCCGGCCUUGGCACACCCCUACGCAGACCUGGAGAGCAAGCCGGCCGCUCGGCCAUACUGAGAGCCCCUCCCAUUGCCUCCUUCUCUGUGCUGGGUGUUCAUUCCCAACACCGAAGACUUUCUAAGCCCCUCGCGCUUCCCUCAGAGUUUACAAGCCUCUUGCACCAGGUGGGGUCCCUCCAUCUCUGCCUCUCAGGGGAAGUGAGCUCUUGACCGAUGUUCUCUCCACUCCGAUUGUGACCCACACUCCAGUCUCUCUGCACUGUACUCCCGUGAGAGACCCCCUGCCACAAUGAUGCACUUUUGCUAGGUUGAGUCUGUCUGUCCCCACCUCUGGGCCACACUACCCAGUGCCUGGCUGUGUCAGGGUCAGUUGUGACCGGUGAGGGUAACUGUCCUCCCCAUGCCCCAGGCGGGUAGGGAGCGUUUCCAGGGGCCGGGCACGGGGCAAUGGUGAGGGAAGGGCCACUCCCUCUGCUGCUUCCUCUGACCUGUCCAUGGUUCCCAGGGGCAGCGCUUGGACAGAGCCUCUGAAACACUGCCAUUGCCUUUAUUACCUAACUGCCGAGUUGGCAUUAAAGUUUGUGGAAGAUGCUCCCUGGGCUUUCUGUGUUGUACAGCCAUUCCCAGGCCCCGGCACACUCCCCUGGCUCCAGCCCGGCACCAGGCCUGCUUUGGUGCUGGGAGGAUGGGCCCAUUCCCAGAGGAGAGACUUCCAGGUGUUUUUCUUGCAGCCAUGAGGGAGGUUGUACCUCAGCAGGGGAAGCCUUCAUCAGGCUGGCCCUCAGCCCUGCCUGAGCCAGGUAGCCCCACGGCCUCAGUGGGAAGGGUCCCCCUCGGGCACGGGCUACUUGGGCUGACGUGCCAGACCACCAGCUAUGGCUCAGGCCUUUGGCUCACCCUUCUGUUCGAGAGCAGCCUGGAUCGCCAGCAUCCAUUCAUGGUCACCUUCGCUUCUCCAAAGGGAGGACAGGAAGAAUGGAAUGGGGCUGGGUUCCCUCAACUUUUUCAAGCCUUCCCAGACCACAAAUGGCCUUCAGCCUUAUUCUUACCCAUGGCAGCAGUUCAUUAGAGCCUGAGAAAUUCUAGUCACUCACCCAGGGAGGCAGCUAAGGAGCAGGAGGAUGGGGGGAGCUUGAGGGCAACUGUUGGAACCCCUGGGUACCCACAGAGGCUUCUAAGUGGCCCCCAGGGCAGCUGCCGCCAGCUGUUCAACUGAAGGGGAGGGGAGCAAAGUUUUUUACUCAAAUGAAUUUAUUAAAUAGUACUACAGGCAGAGCAGCGUGUGAGCUGCUGGACAAAGAUAGCUCUCUGGGCCAAGGGUCCUGCCGUCUAAUAAGGGGAAAGAUGAUACAGGGAAAGAUCCAGGCAGAAUGCUGGGAGAUAGGGGAAAGGACAGCAUCACUAGCCCAGCAGAAGGGUGGGGUGCCCAGGCUGGACUUUGUGGGCGUGGGCAGAGGCACUGCUGUGUGGCCUAGGUAGAAAAUAUUUGAAUGGGGGAAUUGAAAGGGAGCUAGAUUGUGGUGAGCCUAGAAUCCCUACAAUUAACAAACUGGAGAGCCAGCCACUGAAAGUUGGUGGAAGUAGAGAAUCGAGGAGAAUUUAGAGGUGGAGAGAAUCAUUAUCAUAAAUCUAGAAGCUUAAGUGGAGCCAGGAUCCCCAAUCAUGGGAUCCAGGUGUUUACCCAACCACUGUGUGGUACAGUGGAGUCAAAGAACACCAAUCCCGAUUCUGUUCCUUGCUGUAAGUGAUCUUGUGUAGGUCACUUAACCUGUGAAUCUCCGUUCCCUCAACCAUAGAAUGAAGCAGAUAACCAAGGUCUUCUCUAUGAUUCAUGAACUCACUUAGUGUAGGGGAUAUCUGAGCUAAGGGCUUACAAGCCCCUAUGUAAGGACAGGCAAAUUUGGAUGGGAAAAACUUCUCUCCCAAAUGAAAUUUAGCACUUUUAGAAACAUUCUGUGACCAGAAAGUGAAGAAGCCCAAUAUAUAUUAAUGCAGGAAGCUCAGAUGGGAAUGAGUCCAGGGCUCCACAAUGGCUGAUUUCUGGCCUGCUGGGGAGUGACCAGAUGUCAGGCGUGGGGAUGGGGCAGCUGGAGGGUUCCAUGAGGCGGCACAGUUAGUGUGGAGACCUAACUUGCCAGGAGGCCAGACUCCCAUCCUCUGGCUUCUAGUUCUUAUAUAAAAGGAGACUCUCCCACAUGGUCUCUGAAGUCUGAAAUAUAGUCUCACAGAUCCACGCUAUCCAAACCCUCCACUUUACAAAUGAGCAAACUGAGGCCUAGAAAAGGGAAAUGACCGUCAGGAUCCCAGGGGCACCUGGGUCUGGACCCGUCCUAGCUCUCGGGGACAGAGACUUACCGGGCAAACACCUACGGGGCCGAGUCGUCCAGAUUGGAAGGAGACCAAAGCAGCCGAGCAGAGGCUCCCCUCCGGCCCCUCUCUGCCCUCGGACUGGGCACUAGAGCUGAGGGCCACAUCCAGCGCCCGGUGGAGACUGGGAUUGCGGCGGGCUCGGCGCUACCUAUAAAAGACGCGUGACCCUUCACAGUCGGGCGUGGGCAGGCGCCCGGGACUGGGUUUGCGGGACGCAUUGGCCCUGGGAAAGUGCACUCGGCUCCAGCUCGGGAAGGGAUUUAGCGGGGCUCCCUCUGCCGAGAUUUGUCCAACCGGCGCCCCCAAUCUCUGCCCGGGGCCAGCUCCUGCAGUGGACGGAGCCGGAGCCUCCCUGUCCUGGCGUGCCCCGGCCCAGGCGGCCGGCGCCCCGCCCCCUCCCACCCGGGGCCGCGGGGCGCGAACUUGAACUAGCGACGGCAGUCGUUACUCUGACACGCGAAGAAGCCGGGCCUCCGAGGGUCCCGGUGAGCUGGGGCAUCUGGGAGGAGUGGAGAGAGCGGCUCGACAGACGGGGUGCGCCCUGGGGGAGCAGAUAGACCUGGAGGAGUGGGGAAGGCUGAGGGGCUCGGCGGGGGGCAGCGAGGAAGCGAAGCACAAAAAUAAGCAUCCUCAGGACGGAUAAUGUCAGGGGCGCAAAGGGCUGCAGAAGAAAGUGUGGGGGCGGGGAGGGGGAGAGCAGAUCCUGGAGGCGGAGAGGCAGGGAGGAGGCAGUCGAGGGGAGGAGAGAUGAGAGUCCCGGGAACUCAGGGAGGACUCAGGUACGGGAAGGACAGCCAGGGAGCGGACACACAUGAAUUGGGUGCUGGGGGGAAAGCGUGUGGGAAGGUCUGACAGUGCAGAAGCAGCGAGUGGGGCAGAAAGAACGAUAGAAAGAGAUCAGUGAUAGGAGGACUACAGUUAGAAAGACACCCCAAGUUUGGCCGGGAAGAUGCUCCCUCUGGGGGGAGAGGGACAGGCCACCACAGACAACCAUUCUCAUACAGGGGCAGACAGGUGCACCAGCCCAGGGCCGGCUUUUCCUCUUUUUCAUCCCCUUCCCUCCUCUCCAUCUCACAAACCUUGACUUCAUUCCCCAUUUUCUCCUUCUUCCUCCUGCCUGGGCAGUGAGUCAGCUUCCUUAGUAAAGGCAACCUCUUUACCUGAGCCAUUGAUCCCAUCCAGCCAAUUACUCACAAGGAUCACAAUUUCUCCUCAAUAAUAUUCAGUCUCUCCUUAUCCCUUGGUUCCUCUUGUCCACACACCUGUGUCUUUUCCAUCACUUAAUUUUUUUUUAUCAUGUAAAUACUAUUUUUCCAGUACAUAUAAAGAUCGUUUUCAACAUCCAUUUUUACGUUUGAGUUUCAAAUUUUUCUCUCUCCCUCUCCCCAUCACAGCAGCAAGCAACUUGAUAUAGGUUAUACAUAUGCAAACAUAUCAAACAUAUUCAUAUUAGUCAUGUGAAAGAAAAAAAAAAACAGAACAAAACAAGGAAAAAACCACAGGGAAAAGUAAAAAGAGGGUACUCCAAUUUGCAUUCAGUUCUUUUUCUGGAUAUGGAUGGUGUUUUCCAUCAUGAGUCUUUCAGAAUUGUUUUGGAUCAUUGUAUUACUGAGAAGAGCUGAGUCAGUCCUAGUUGAUCAUCCCAUGACGUUGCUGUUACUGUAUGCAGUGUUCUCCUGAUUCUACUUGUUUCACUCAGCAUCAGUUCAUGUCUUUCCAUUUCUUCUGGCACAGUAAUGUUCCAUCCCACUUAGCUUGCUCAGCCAUUCUGCAAUUGAUAUGGGCAUCCUCUCAAUUUCCAAUUCUUUGUCAUCUCCCAUCAUUAAAAAAAAUUUUUUUUUAAAUCCUUUGUUAAACCUCAUCAUUAUUUCCUCCUCUUCUCAUCCAAACUCCCUAAUGAAAGGGGGGGGGGGGAAAGGAUAUAACUUAUUGCUUCCAAUUCUGCUUCUCAAUUACUUUUUUUUUUUGUUCUGAGGCAAUUGGGAUUAAGUGACUUGCCCGGGGUCAUACAGCUAGGCACUAUUAAGUGUCAAACCAAAUUUAAACUCAGGUUCCCCUGACUUCAGGGCUGAUGCUCUAUCUACUGCGCCACCUAGCUGCCCUCUUCUCAAUUACUUUUUAUCUUGAAGUCUGGCAUCAUCCGUCAUCAUUCAAAUGAAACUGCCCUCUGCAAAGUUAUCUCUGGUUUCUUAAUUGCCAAAUCCAAUAGCCUUUUCUCAGUCCCUAUCCUUCUGGACCUGGCUUCAGCCUUGGAUACUGAUGACUCACUGUCUAUUAUAGAUUUUUGCUCUUCUGCCUUUUCUUUCAGUCUUGUUCCUAUGUGUCUGACUGCUCCAUCUCAGUCUCCAUUGUUGCUUCAUCAUCCACAUGACUCCCUCUAAUUGUGAAUAUCCCCUGAGCCUCUGCCCUGGUCUCCUCUUUUCCCUUUACACUUUCUAAGUGGUGAGAAGACCAAGGCCCACAAAUUUAACUCUCAUCUUUGUGUGGAUGGCUCCCAAAUGUAUAGAUCCAACUCCAAUCUCUCUGGUGAGCAUCAGUCCCGCAUCAGCCCCUGCCAAUUGGACAUUUCAGGCUAGAUGACUCAUAGAGGCCCCAAGUUCCGUGAUACACAACCAAAUUCCUUCUCUCUCUUCCCCUGGCCCAACUUCCAAACUUCCUGUGCACUUUACCAGCUCCUUCAUCUCCUAGUUGGUAACCAUGGCUUCAUUCUUGCCUUCUCCACCUUCCUUUCCCAACAUAACCAUUCCGUUGCUAAGUUUACCAUUUUUAGGUUACUUUUGUAUCCUCGGUGCCUAGGAAAAUACCUACUACACUGAUUGGGCUGAAAAAAAAGCUUGUUGAUUGAGUUCUGUCUUCAGAACAUCAGCUUCUACUCACACAGUCACCUCACUGGAUCAGACCUUCACUCUCAGCACCUGGACUAUUUCAGGAGUCUUGGUCUCCCUCCCUCCCCUAUCCCAGCCUAUCCUCUGUACAGUUCCCAAAGGUCUGAUCCCAUCACUUCCCUUAUUAAAACUCCAGUGACUUCCUAUUCCUAUUCCCCCAGGAUAAAGUGUAUAUUCCUAUGUUGAACAUUUAAAUCCGUUCAUAACCUGGUCCCAAUUUUUCUUGUUUCCACGGUCCAAUCCAAAACAGCCGCCUUGAUGUUUUUUAAAUGGUACUCCACCUCUGGCCCAUGGUUUUGAGUCGGCCGUAUCCCACUUCUACAAUGCGUGCCUUGAAUCUGGAGACAGAGACUAGCCCUUUGGGGCUGAACUUUGGACCCAGACUAGCUGGGCAAGCCACUUAAUCUCUGUCUGACUCGAUUUCCUGCUGUAAAAUGAAGACUAAUAUAAGACCUACCUCCCAGGGUUGUGAGGACCAAACGAGAGAAUGUUUUUAAAGCACUUAGCACAUUACUCAGGACAUAGUAGGUGCUUAAUAAAUCCUUGUUCCCUUCCUUGUCUUGUUUAAGAUCUUCUCAAGCACUAUUUCCUUUCCUGAUCUCCCCAGCUCACAUUGCCCCCUUACCAAGAUUACCUUGUAUCCAUUUUUAUUAUUACUUAUUUAUUAUAUCAAUAUAAUAUAUUAUUAUUUAUCAUUAUAUCUAAGAUUUAAAAAAUAAUAAACAUUUACAUGACACUUUAAAAUGUAUAAAUGCACAUUACAAAUAUUUUCUUAUUUGAUCUUCACAACAAUCCUGGGAGCAAGAUACUAUUAUUAUCUCCAUUUUAUAGAUGAAGAAAUGGAGGCAAAUAAUAAUUAAAUUACUUUUUCAGGGUCAUACAACUAGAAAGGGUCUGAGGCAGGAUUUCAACUUAGGUCACUAAGAGUCCACCCUGAUAGAACAUAAGCCCUUUGUAGGGAGCAACUGGCUGGGGGUCUUUUGGUCUUAUUGACCAAAUUAUUGAUCUUAUUGAGUGAUGAUCCAUCACUUAAUUUCAUGAAGCAAUUGGUCCAGGAAGGUGCUUUAGAGAGUCAGAGGAAGGAUUGUCAGAGGGGCUGGGGAAGGAAAGAAUCUGAGUCUGGCAUGUAACUCUUAGGAUUUACAACAGGAAAGGACCUCAGAGGUAUCCAUCUAACUCCGCCAUCUUAAAGAUGAGGAAAGUGAGUUGGGUGGGUUGGGAAAAGAAGCUGGCUCCUCAGCUCACUAAGUACCCCAUCCAGUUAGACUUAGGAUGAUCAAGUGCUGUCUUAGAAUGAGAGAGUAAGGUCUCAGGUAAAGGGAUCAGAGAGGGAACGAAUAAGGGGAAGUUUUGAUCCUGUUCCACUUUUGACCCUCAGAUCUCCCAGCCUUCUCCUUAUGAGAUCUGAACAGUUUAUGAUCUGCUGGCCAUCACUGCUACCUGGAAAGACCACUCUGACAGAGGCACCUGUCCUAGACUAAGGACCUUCUGGGGACAUUUCCAACCUAGACCCCAUGGAGGCCAAUCGGAAGGAGAAUAUUCCACCCUGGCCAGGAGGCCCCCUGAAAUCAGACCGACAGCUGGUUCCGAAGAACGUGAACAUCGGCCUCUCUGUGGGCAGCGGGCGAGCUACCAUGGCGGGGUCUCGCUCUCCCAUCAAAACUCAGAGGCAGAGUCCAGCCGCUCCUCCAGGCCAAGGCCUGCAGCUGGAAGGGCCUGUAGCCAGCAGCCAGGAGGCGAGGUACCUCUCCUCUGGGGUUCAGACCAACCUGGCUCCUGUGGGCCAGUCCCUGCCCAGGGCCGCCGGCCUGGUGAGUAACUCUUGCUUUGAGCAGCAGAGCAACCUGUGGCUCCAAGCCCGGAGGCCCAGGGCAUCUGGGAAGUGGACAGGGCUUUCCUCCCAGCAAAGCAACGUGGAGCUGAGCAGAGCAGACCCAGAGAGGAGAGGGGGAGCCAGGAGCCCCCACCUAAAGGAGCCGGCCUGGAGCCUGGGGGGCUGCUCGUGGGAGCUCUUGUGGUCCGGACAUUCUGGAGGCGUCCCCUGGCCCUCCGGGUCAGACAGCCAGACCCACAGGCUCCCGUUGCUGAGGGACCGACCAUCAUCUUCCUUCCCCGGCCCUGGGAGCACCGUACACAUCUCACCAAAAGCCACAAAAGCCUGGGGGUCCAAGCGGAGCCCUUCCCCUCCAUCUGGCCAUCAGGGUUGUCUUGUCCAGCCCAGCACAAGUUACCUGGGUUACUGGGCCCCAAACUCCACCGAGCAAACCCUCCCCUUGGAGGACCUGACCCUCUCAGGCCAGUGCCGGCAAUCAUCUCAGCCUCCGGUCUUGGAGCCCAGAGCUGAGUUUUUCCCAGACUCGGCCCACCUGCGCUUGUCCAUGAGGAGCCUCCGAUGGCCAUCAGAGGAGCUCCUCCUCAGAGCCCCCCAGGAGCACUCCAGACCCUGGCCCUGCUCCAGCUGGGCCAUUUCUCCAGGGGCCUCACUAACCUCGACUCUAGGGCACCCCAGCCCCCUAACCCAUGCUUGUGGGACUGUGCCUCCAGAAGCUACCCCUCGCCUGGCACCUGGGCACCCCAGUCCCUGCAGGGCUGUGCCUCCAGAGGCUACUCCUUACCUAACACCUGGGCACCACAGCCCCCUUACCCACCCUGGUGGGACUGAGCCUCCAGAGGCUACCCCUCACCUGCCACCUGGGCACCCCAAUCCCUGCAGGGCUGUGCCUCCAGAAACCAUCCCUCACCUGGCACGAGGGUAUCCCAGCCCCCUUAGCCAUCCUUGCAGGGCUGUGUCUCCAGAGGCUAGCCCUUACCUAACAUCCGGGCACCCCAACCCCCUUACCUGCCCCUGCAGGGCUGUGUCUCCAGAGACUGCCCCUUACUUAACACCAGGGCACCCCAGCCCCCUCACUCUCUCCCACAGCGCUGCAAGUCCAGAGGUUCUCCAGAAUCUGACAAUGGGGUACCCCAGUCCCCAUAUUUUUUCUGACAAGACCUUAACUCCAGAGGCAUCCCCCAAACUGGCACCAGGAUACUCCAGCAGGACUAAGGCUCCAGAGGCCUCCCCCAGCCCGACGUCGGAGUCUCCUACCCUCCUCCCUCUCUCUUACCAAGGCUCCCGAGUAGACAGGGGACAGCGACUGACAGACACUCAGCUGGAGGGACAUUUGUGGCAAAUCUGGCAUCGCUGGUGUCCCCAGGGCACAAAUACCCCUCUCCCGGGCCAGGCGGAAGGGACUGCUCCUGCCCACUGGAAAAGUCCAAGAGAAGGAGCCUUCUCAGGCCCUGAGGGUAGUUCCGGGCCAAGCCUCCUGCAGAGUGCCAUUCCUGGUCCCUGCCCCCCUGGGGGGGAAGGCAGACUGGGCCCGAGGACCUGUCUUUCAGCCUCCCCUUCUAUUGGGGCGCAUCCAGCCCAGCAGCAGAUGGAAAAGGCUCUUUGGCCCAGGGAACGGGAAGGUCCCUGGAUGGAACGGGGCCUUGCUGAGAGCCAUAGGGCAAGAAGCCGGGACAGGAGGGAGCAACACCUGGCAGUCGGGGGCCCACAGCAAAAGCUGGGGCUAGAGAAGAAGUCAUCCAUAUCUUUACUCUCGGAGACCAGGGAAUCAAGGUGAGGCUCUUGGGGGGCCCUUCAAGGCUCUGUGGUAAGGUAGACCUUUCCUCCUCAUUCCUGUUCCCUGAGCACCUGGCUCCUCACAAAGACCUUAAAUGGGUGAAACAAGGACAUAAAAUAGUUUAGGAGAGUGAAUGAAGGCAGCUGAAGGGAUAAGGAAAGGGUUGUUCAGAAGAUGGGUCACAAAGGCCUGUGAAGGUGGAGGUAAGAAGGGAAGGCAUUCCAGGCAUGAAGAACAGCCUGUGCAAAAGCAUGGGGGUGGGAAGCUAGAAGUUUUAGGGGAAAGAUGAUGAGUUCCAUCUGGGACAUUUUGAUUUUGCAAAAUCUCAGGAGUUUAAAUGUGCAGUAGGCAUUUGUUGAUGCCUCCGGGAAAGCCUGGAACUACUAGCUCUCAAACUGGAACUUCUGGAAAUAUCCCAAUUAUAUAUUGCUACAGGGCUGGUAGUUAAAUUCACGGGAACUGACAAGGUUACUCAGAGAGAAGAUAUGGAGAAAAAUGGCUCAGGGCCUUACCUUGGAGAUACCCACAGUGAAGGGGUAUGAUAAGGAUGAUAAACUAGCCAAAGAGCCAGAGGUAGGAAGAGAGUCAGGAGAGAUUGGCUGUAUGAAAACCCAGUGAGAAGACAGUGAAAGAGCUUCAACAGGGAGG
ensembl:lncRNA